CUCCCGCAAUCUCCUUCCCCGUGUUAUCUCCUACACUCCAACAACAAACCAAGAACCAUGGAAACUUCUACCUGACGCCGGCCGCCACGCUCAAUUGAAGAACCAAUCCAGCUCAAACUCCCGCGUGGCUCUGGCUCCGGCACUCCGACCCCUAGCAAACUGCCGCGGAGAAGCAAGAAAUCUGAAGCUUUGAUAACUCCGCGAGUGAAGAAGAGGAACUAAAAGCAGAUGGCCCCAAUUGAGGAAAUGGGAACUAAAAGCAGGUGGCAACAAUUGCGGAAAUGGGGGCCAAGAACCCUAGAGAAUUGACUUGGUGAGACCUGGGAUUCGACAGAAAUGCAAGAAAAUAGGCUCGAAUUGGGUAGAGGAAAGACUGUACCUCUGGAUCCUUGAGGCUGUUUAAGCUCUACCAGCGGCGGCGGCUGCUACCGACAGCGGCUCCUUUGCGUUACUUUCGCUUCAUUUUUUCACCCUUUAUUACUCCCUCUGUUACAAAAUAGAGGGAAAGUAAUAUAAUAUAUAUAUAUAUCCCUCUGUUAUAAAAUAUAAUUUAAUUUAAACUAAAUAUAUGUUUAUUAAUUGACUAUAAAUAUGGUGUAUA
rnacentral:lncRNA from 1 species